GAGCCAGAGAGCAGUGAUUGGUCAGACUGACUGAGAGCCAGAGAACAGUGAUUGGUCAGACCAUAGAUAUGUAUAGAAGACAGCGCGCGAGCGUAUCUAGUCUUCUGUGUAUCUAUGGUUGGCACGUCUGGCAGCAUCUCUGGCUGCUAUUGAUCUUGUUUUUGGAGUAAAACACGGUGGAAGCUGAAUUAGUGAGGAUGACUCCUGCUCCUGUCAUCUCUAAGCUCCUCACACAUCUUUACCUGCACAUGAGGAAAAUCACUCCUGUAGAAUGCAGAUGUUCAGAGGGAGAUGAUGCCACAUCUGGUCCAGCUGAUGGAAGGUCUUGAAGUUCUCUGACUGGCCUCCACUGAAGAUGGUCGUCUCACUGGAUUUAAGGUUCAGAUGUUCAGUAACAAACUCCACCAAUGUGCCAACAGGGAAGCUUUAGGUUUAUUAAAUGUUGCUAUGAAGGUAUCGCUGUUUUUCUUUGUGAAUGCAAUGUGCUCCAACUGAAACUUGAAUUAGAACUUAGAAGUAAAUCCUUCCAUCUGAAAGGAUUUAGUUGCAUUAAUAACCUCAUAACAUUCUAAUUUUUAUUCCAGUCUUGGUUGGAAAUAGAAUCUCUGUAUUGAUUCAAGUAAAAACUGAACUUCACAGCAUGUUGGAGCAAAACAACCAGAUGAAAACUGUGAUGGUGUUGGAUUGUCAGACUGUAAUGUUGCAGCUCAAAGCAGCUUUUCUAGCUCAGUUCAUUCUGACAUUCAGCUAUGAAUCAACACAGCAGAUGGUGAUCCAUGCUGUGGAAGUCUCACAUCUCCUGAUUUAAUGGAGCUGCUUUGCACUUUUUACACUGUUUAUUCACCAAGACUUUAUUUAAUAAAAGUCCCAUCUAGUUUUUAUGAGGAAUGUGAUGUUUUAAUUUCUCUGUGAAUAACUGCAGUCUAAUGCAACAGCUGGAGUUGUAACAUCUGUCCUGAUAUUGAUCAUGAAGUAUUGAUCAGAAUACUUAUGGUCAGCAGUCAUCCCUGAAGUUUUAUAUUAAAAUCUUUACUUGUGUUGUGAACUUUGGUAAGAAGCAGAAACGUUAGCGUUGCCAUGGAUACAUGAGUGUUAAAUUCUGUCCAUGUUUCCAUUUUGGGAAAUUCAGUCCAGUUCCAGAAUGUGGAGGAAUUUAGUCUCACAAUCACAGACAACAAAUAUUAUCUGAAAGUCGGGUUAUUGUUGUUUAUCAGCACAAUACAAAAAGAUUAAUGUUAGAAAUAUUCCAGUUAGGACUCUAGAAUAUCAUGAUUUAUGUAAAUUUACCUCAAUAAUAUGAAUGUUCAGGUUAAGAUUGUGCAGUGAUAUUUAUUAUGCAAGUUUAGCUGAUUAAAGUUUAUGACUCUGCACUAAAAUAUUAUUUAAAUUGCCAUCAUUAUUAUAAUAUUUAGGGUCAGACCCUACAGUAUUGAGAUUAAGAAAUCAAAUAUUCUUUAAAAUGUAAAUACACUGAACUCAUUUGGAUACAUUUAAGUGAGACUCUACAAUAUUAUUUGACACAAAUCUAUCUAAAUCAACAUUUUAAUAAUUUUCAUGCCAAACAUUUACUGGAAUGAUUUAAAUAUUAAAAUCACUCCUUUCUAAUCCUCUGCUGUACGUUCAAACCUGAGGCCUUAAAUAGAAACACACAAGUAUCUGAUUGAAGGAACUUCUGCAGAGUCCUGGUUCCAGAACAUGAUGAUAGAAUUAUAGACAAACUUUAACACAAGCUGCCUGAGAGUUUACAGGUUUUUAUGUUAAAUUUCUUCAGUAAUUUAAUGAGACUUAUCAGCAAAAAUCAAGUGUUCAUUUGAUGAACUUCAUUUCCUAAAACAUCCAGAAUUGGAGCUCAUAUCUUUGGCAGCUGUAAAGUUUCUGCUCCUUCAAAGUUCACAACACAAUGAAUGAAUUCCUAAAACACUCUCAAUGCUGGAGAGCGUUUGUGAUGCUGAAGCAGUGAUCAGUUUUUCAGUUUCUUCUCUGGAGAUGCACAAUGAGGGACGUCUGCAGAGACUGAGAAAGAGUCUCACCACAUCCUGACAUGAGGAAAAAGACUUUAAUGAAGACUACAAUGAGAAAAACUAUCAGACAGCAGAUGGCUGCAUUCAAGUCUGUAGCUGCUGAAUUCAUGGAUGAAUCAUCUGGCACUAGAGAAGAAGACCAUCAAACAUCCACGUCAGCUGAUGGAGGUCCAAGAGUCUCACCAAACAAACAACCUACAGAGUGAAGACCUCCAAUCUGAUUGGACGGCAUCCUAUUCAGCCACAUGUGUGAACAAAUGCCUCUAAGUUGAUUUGUUUUCUAAAAUAAAUCUAGUU
ensembl:lncRNA